ensembl:rRNA 5S_rRNA 5S ribosomal RNA
GUCUAUGGCCAUGCCACCCCGAGCAUGCCUGACGUCAGAAGCUAAGCAGGGUUGGUCCCAGUUAGUACCUAGAUGGAAGAUUAACAUUAUUUUCCUGGAUAGCACAUACC